UACGGGGGGGGCAAGCGUUGUUCGGAAUUACUGGGCGUAAAGGGCUCGUAGGUGGCCAAUUAAGUCAGGCGUGAAAUCCCCAGGCUCAACUUGGGAACUGCGUCUGAUACUGGUUGGCUUGAAUCCGGGAGAGGGAUGCAGAAUUCCAGGUGUAGCGGUGAAAUGCGUAGAUAUCUGGAGGAAUACCGGUGGCGAAGGCGGCAUCCUGGACCGGCAUUGACGCUGAUGAGCGAAAGCUAGGGGAGCAAACGGG
rnacentral:rRNA from 1 species